GUUGUCCCUUCUCCCACUCCAGUUCUCAUCUUAGGAAUCUUGUCUUCAAGCUGUUAUCUUUCUCCAGCUUUUAAUAGAGAGACAGAGAGUUGGAAUGGACCCCACUGGCCAUUUUGGGAAUCUAAGGCCCAUGGAGGUUACAUGAUUUGCCCAACUCACAGAGAGUCAUCUAAGUCCAGGAGCAAGAUAAAAGUCAGACUGACUUGCGAUGACCGGGUUGGAAUCUUCAAUGUCUGACCAAACUCUCAGAGCUCCACAGCACCUACUUUAGCUGCCUUUGGGACUCCUGAAAUAAAUUGUUCUCAUCUGCCCAUUCCUAACACAUCUUCAGAGACUGUUUUACUGAGUUGUGGCUGCUAUGCAUGCAACAGCUUCUUGUAGCCACAGUUCACAGGUUCACAGCAUCCCUGGGGAAAUACCGGUGUUUAAAUGACAGGCUUUUGCAUAAGCAAAUAAUUUGGUAUUCUUCAAAUCUCCACAUGGUUUACCAAAUGAGAUCCUGGAUGGCUUAG
rnacentral:lncRNA from 1 species